GGCUCAGUUUUCCAGCAGCCGCAGACACCCAGAGCAAAAAUGAAUUUGUGUAUUUAAUUUAACACAAAGGGUGAAAUGUUUGCUGACACUGAUAACAGCUUAUGUUUUCUCUGCCCUAUGUACCGACAUGAUGGAGAAGGAACAUCCUCUGUGUCAGCUGGACCCUCAGCAGAGAAUGAACUCAACAUCCCUUUUGUCCGGUACUCUAUGUCACACACUGUGCCAAAAAAAAAAACGUGUACAGACGCCACUACCAGGUAAUCCCAUGACUGGGAGCCACACUUUUGUUUCUCUCACACUGUUCAACAACAUGAUAACUGCUCACAA
rnacentral:sRNA from 1 species